rnacentral:lncRNA from 1 species
GACGCUUCCAUCUGUCAAAGCUGUGUCGCUUCCCCACAGUCAGCCACACAGACCAGAUCUGUCCCCUGGUCCUCAGGAAAGAAGACAGACCCGUUGUGUCUGAAAGGAGCUGUCAUCACCCCUGCGCCUCCCACCACCUCCGCAGCCCUGGGAGAGGAAGACGGCCACUUCAAAGCACGUGUUUGCAAGACGGCUCUUCACAUCCUUCGGGAAGAAGGAGGACAGACAAAGCCUUUCUUCUCAGGCUGCUCCGUCCUUAUUCCAAAAGGAAAGCACCCCUCUUUCCUCCCACAUCUCAGCCAGAACAAGGCCUGACUCUGCAGAGACCCACCCCUGGCCAGGAGAAAUCAAGAGAGCUUGACUGGCUUAGAUCCAUCUUGACUCCUUCCCUGGGGAGGGUGGACCCCUCCUGCGUGGUUACCAUGCCUCUGGGAGCUCCCUGGAGACAAGCGGCUCUGUGCAGCCAUAAAGGAGGCCGUGGAGGGAACUAGGCUUUGGUUGGAAACCACUGGAGCAGGGUGCUGAGUGCUUGCUGUCUUUUAGCCU